AAAUAAAAUAUGGCCAAUAUAUUUGAUUAGUAAGAUAAAUGAAUACAAAAACAAAUAAAAGAAUGUAUUAAAAGUAAGCCAAUACAAAGAAAAUAACUUAUUGUUUGGGGAAUUUUUGGGGAAUUUAAUUAGGUUAGUUAACAAUUUAAAAGUUAGAGUCAACACACGAUAAAAAAUAUAUAAUCAUAAUUAAAUAAUUAAAGCGUAGGGAGAAAUUGAAUUUGGGCCCUUCUUGGGCCAAAUUCGCUGCUGAUUUUGAGCUUAGGCUCAAUUCCCCUUUUUGUAUACACUGGUUGUAUAUCAGUGUAUCGUAUGAAUCCAGCCCAAUUUUUUUGUAUAUAAGACUGUAUACCAAAUGUAUACAACCUAAUUCAACUUCCAAAACACCUGUUUCAAUUUUUGGCCUUGCAUUUGUUGCGUUUUGACAUGUAUACAAAAUCUGUAUACCAGUGUAUACCAGCUCCUUUCUUUUUUUUUUGAAUGUCCAGCCCAUAUUUGUCACGUUCCGACCUGUACACUUGCUUCCUUAAUUUGCCAUGGUGACUGACCCGAAGAGAAAGAAAUUCGGGCCUCUGUGGCCCAAUAGGAAGAUGCGAGGAUGAGAGGAGCCCAUGAGGACUCGAGGCGAAUUUUACAUGUGACGAAACAAACAAAUAAAAAUACGUAAGUGACAACCCACAUAUCCAAUAUAAGGAGUAUUGAUGUGAAUAUUUAUACCAUUGUAUUGGAGCCUAAACAUCAGAAAGAAAACAAAAUGACUCUCACUAAUGUUU
rnacentral:lncRNA from 1 species